rnacentral:rRNA from 1 species
UGGUGAAUAUUGCACAAUGGGCGCAAGCCUGAUGCAGCCAUGCCGCGUGUAUGAAGAAGGCCUUCGGGUUGUAAAGUACUUUCAGUCGGGAGGAAGGUGGUAAGGUUAAUAACCUUAUCAAUUGACGUUACCGACAGAAGAAGCACCGGCUAACUCCGUGCCAGCAGCCGCGGUAAUACGGAGGGUGCAAGCGUUAAUCGGAAUUACUGGGCGUAAAGCGCACGCAGGCGGUUGAUUGAGUCAGAUGUGAAAUCCCCGGGCUUAACCCGGGAAUUGCAUCUGAUACUGGUCAGCUAGAGUCUUGUAGAGGGAGGUAGAAUUCCAUGUGGAGCGAUGAAAUACGUAGAGAUGUGGAGGAAUACCGGUGGCGAAGGCGGCCCCCUGGACAAGGACUGACGCUCAGGUGCGAAAGCGUGGGGAGCAAACAGG